GCCGGUGCCGGCCGGAAAAAGAUCCACCCAGCCCUCAAGUUACAAGUCUUUGGGAUGAAGGCAGCGUUAGAAGUCCUAG
rnacentral:lncRNA from 7 species